UCAAAAAAAAGCAUUUAUAGGAUGUGUCUCGUUUACAUUGAGGGAAAGCGUGUAGCUUUUUUUGAU
rnacentral:tRNA from 1 species